AGGGAUUCGCUUUAUAAUAAUGGAGCACGAUUCAUCAACAUUGGCGCAAGAGAUUAACGCGACAUUUUUGUGUGCGAUGACCGGUUCUUGUAUUACGCUUUAAUUAUACACACGUGACAUUGGUGUCGUUGUUUGUCACAGGAAAGUUUGAAAAUUUUUAUUACAAGUGGCAAGAUGUGCAAUAGAUCUAAGAAAUGCGGCUCUUGUUCUUUUAAAGCUAACAUGAAUAAGGGAAGAAAUCUUGGGAUGCUUACUGGGAAAUUGGUAA